CCUAAGACAUGACAAGUCGAACGAGAUGGCCUUUUGAGAACCGCGUACUUGUACAAAGUUGGAUAAAGAAUUUCCAUCUAGUGGCAGACUGGUAGAGUAACACGUAAGUAAUCUACCUUAGAGAUUGGGAUAACGUUUGGAAACGAACGCUAAUACCGAAUAAUUCACUUAUACAUAAGUAUUUGUGCUAAAAGGUGCUUCGGCAUCACUUUAAGAUGAGCUUGCGGCGUAUUAACUAGUUGGUGAGGUAAUGGCUCACCAAGGUGACGAUGCGUAGCCGAACUGAGAGGUUGAUCGGCCACAUUGGGACUGAGACACGGCCCAAACUCCUACGGGAGGCAGCAGUUAGGAAUAUUCGUCAAUGGAGGAAACUCUGAACGAGCAAUGCCGCGUGAGUGAUGACAGUCUUCUUGAUUGUAAAACUCUGUUGUAAGGGAAGAACUAUUGCUAUAGGUAAUGAUAGCAAUUUGACGGUACCUUACCAGAAAGCCCCGGCUAACUACGUGCC
rnacentral:rRNA from 1 species